GAAAGUGAAAUCUCCGCGGUU
rnacentral:misc_RNA from 1 species